UUACGGCCAUAUUACGUUGAAACACUGUUUCCCGUUAGAUCACUGAAGUUAAGCAACAUCAAGCCUGGUCAGUAUUUGGAUGGGUGACUGC